UCUGGUGAUUAAACUUCUUCUCCAACUCCAAGACUUGCAGGUGUGUGAACGCAGCCCGCGAGCGCUUAUGCUUGGCGCUGUCUGAUGAUGGUGCAGGGCUCGAGCCAGAAGACUCGAUGGAUUCUACAAGAAUACAAGAACUGUCAUCCCGUAUGUCACUGCAACUUGAGGCUCGUCGUUUCUCUUCUUUCAUUGAGAGGAUAUCUUCAAUGAAAAACGAUGUCAGCUGCUUCUCCGACCCUGCCAUUUCCGUCGUUUAGAUCCCAAAUCAGAGCAAAGGAGAUGCACCCUAAACGCCAAUUCAAAGGAAAGCACUCAGAACAUCCCAAGCGAAAGUUACUGCCUUUCGGUCCGAUCUGACAGCGAGCAGCAGGCUUCAGGCAAGCUGCCCUGUGCAGGCUAGCAGAGUCCCUGUUGCGCAGGCUGGGCUGGCUCUUGUAAAUCGGGGGCCCCACGGCCCACCUCCAGCCCCCCCGCGCCUCCAUGCCCGUGGGCACGGCUGGGUCUGAGGAGACGGACGGGCACGGUUUGCUCUGGAGCAGCUGGAAGAGCAUGGCGAUCUCCGGCCCCAGGCGGGUCACCAGGCUGGCCCGCAACAGGUCCACUGUCUCCUCAUCACACUCCAUCAGGCUUUGCAGAAGCUUUCCAUAGAACCUGACGGAACAGGGAGAAGUGGGGAAAUUAUUACUCUGAUCCAGUCCAGAGUUUUUCUCUUUUUUUUUUUUUGAGCCCAUGCUCUAAACCGACAACUCAAGAGCCAUGAGGAGCAAUGAACUGCAGACUCCAUGUUGAAGCACAGACAACAUUGUCUUCAGAGUAUCAUCAUCAUCAUAAUCAUCAAGGUCAUCAUCAACAUCAACAUCUCUCACUACCUACUGUUUAUUUACCCCUCCUUAUUACAGCUGUGGCACAAGACUUUCAUUAUACUGCAAAGUAUAUGUGACAAUAAACUUGAACUUGAACUUGAACAUUAUCUUCAUCAUCAUCAUCAGCAUCACUAUCAUCACUAUCAUCAUCAACAACAUUAUCUUCAUAAUCAUCAUCACUACCACCAUCAUCAACAACAUUAUCUUCAUCAUUAUCAUCCUCAUCAUCAUCAUCAUCACCACUCUCAUCAUCAUCACGGUCAGCUCUUUACCUGUUGGGGAAGUGGCUGGGGAGCUGGGCCACCUCAGCGAUGGCGUCUGGGUUGGAGCGCGCCACGGUGCAGAUGUCCAGCUUACUGUAGCACUCCUCCUGCACCUCCGAGAUCAUGCGCUGAAACGUUGAGCACCGCCGCACUGUCAGGAAGACCUUCGACGUAAUUCCAUUUGCGAUACACUUUAGGCUCUCCUUCACAAAGGCCUUGCCCUGCAGGAAUGUUGAUGAGAGUCAUGUUAUCACACUGAAAGAACCCUGUCACUCACGAGCCCGCCUGCUAUCAUAACUAUAGACUAUAUGAAAUCUGACAAAUACACGUCCAUAAACUUGACGAGCUGUUGACGGCCCAUAUCAUUGAAACAUUGGAGUAGAUAAAGUCCAAGUAAUGGUGCCUCUAGCCAUACGAUUUAGCAAUAAUAAAGGGCAAAGUAAAGGCAAUCUAAAUAUAGCCUUUUCACUCGUUUUACCCCCACUGGUAGCACCACUGAGUUGGAGCCAGGCCAAGAUUUAAAUGGCCAUGUUGCCUUCCUAUGUCCACACACCUACCUGAGUGUCAAAUUUGGCCGCGCUGUAGAGGAAGGACUUGCAGAUGUCAUGCAUGCCAUCUGUGUCACACGUGGAGUUCUCCAGACAGGCGAAGGCGCCACAGCCCACCUGAAGGGCACUGUUCAGACA